GAGAAGGAGAAGAAGUCUCUCUACGGACAGGAAGUAGAAGCGACUCGUUUCUCAGAGUCCGGAUCUGGAAACAGGCAACCAGGUGACACCUGCAUACCACUGGGGCCCUCUGUGCAUCACCGCCCUGCCUGCAGCGUCACUGGCACUGGUGUGGCCCUCAAGUGCCGUCAGCAGCCUUCGCCGUUACUGCCAUGGACGCACGUUGCUGCCCCCGCUCUCACAGGCGGACUCUACCAGAACUGUAACUCUGCACAGAGACCCUGCAACCUGACACAAGGACUACUUCUUUGAACACAUCUGCCUGGAGACCGUCUAAGCUUGGACUGACGACACCCUUGUUACUGACCCUGGUAGCCAAGAAUAUCCCAAAACAACGGAAAUAAUCACCACUUCUCCUUCUCCCCUCUUACUUGCGGUUUUUGCCUUUAAAGUAUUCUUGAGGACUUAAGACC